GGGGCGCUAGCUCAAUGGUAGAGCAUCGGCCUUUUAAGCCGGUGGUUGUGGGUUCGAGUCCCACGCGCCUCA
rnacentral:tRNA from 1 species